GCCAUAUCAAAAUCAACAUUCAUACCUUCAGGUUGCAUUGUUUUAAGUGUGUGGAUCCAAUAACCUUCUCUUUGUCUUAAUUUUAAUAACAGAUCACCACCUCUUUCAUCCAAAAGCACCUUUUCAAUCCCAAUACACGAAAAGGUAUUGGGAUUGAAAUUUUGACACCUAUUGCAGUGAACAGGGACAGAGUGAGUUAAUAGCUUAUUUUUAAUAUUAUUUUUGUGCUCCAAAAAUCUUUUUUUCACCGGCCUGAUCGUUCGUCCUACAUAUUGGGUUCCACACCCGCAUGUCAGGAGAUAUACCACAUGUGUAGAAUUACAUGUGAUAUACUCCUUGAUUUUAAAUUUAUUUUUGGUUCUCGAGCUACAAAAAUAAUAAAUUUUCUGGUUCUUAUAGUGACAGCUUUUACAUGAACCACAGGUGUAAAAACCUACAUGUUUCUCCAAUUCAUUUUUAGAUUUAUUCCUAAAAGUGCUAGGUGCUAGGACAUUUUUAAAACUCCUCCCUUUCUUAAAAAUAACUUGUGGAACAGGUGGAAGUUCCGUCUUUAAAAAAUCGUCUUCUAAUAAAAGAGGCCAAUGUUUGUUUAAUAUUUUUUUUAAUUUGUUUAGCAUGAACAUUAUAUUGGGUAUUAAAGGAAAAGGCAAAUUUAUUAUUAAUCAGUG